rnacentral:tRNA from 1 species
GCAGGCAUGAUUUAAUGGUAGAAUACUGGUUUCGUAGUCCAGCAAUGCGGGUUCGAUUCCUGCUGCCUGCUCCA